rnacentral:rRNA from 1 species
UACGUAGGAUGCAAGCGUUUGUCCGGAAUUAUUGGGCGUAAAGAGCGCGCAGGCGGUAUGACAAGUCAGAUGUGAAAGAGGCCGGCUUAACCGGCAAGGGUCAUUUGAAACUGUCAGACUAGAGUGCAGCAGAGGAUAGUGGAAUUCCCGGUGUAGUGGUGAAAUGCGUAGAUAUCGGGAAGAACACCCGUGGCUAAGGCGGCUCUCUAGUACGGUACUGACGCUGAGACGCGAAAGCGUGGGGAGCGAACAGG